rnacentral:rRNA from 1 species
GAUGAACGCUAGCUACAGGCUUAACACAUGCAAGUCGCGGGGCAGCAUGGGGGUUGCUUGCAACCCCUGAUGGCGACCGGCGCACGGGUGAGUAAUGCGUAUCCAACCUGCCCUUCACCACGGGAUAACCCGGCGAAAGUCGGACAAUUACCGUAAGUAGUCCAUUGAGGGCAUCCGAUUUGGUCGGACUGCGUGGGGGUGAAUGGGCGGGGAUGCGUCCGAUUAGCUGGAGGGGGGGGGACCGGCCCACCGGGGCUACGAUCGGUAGGGGGUGUGAGAGGAAGGCCCACUACACUGGAACUGAGACACGGUCCAGACUCCUACGGAAGGCAGCAGUGAGGGAUAUUGGUCGAUGGGCGUAAGCCUGAACCAGCCAAGUAGCGUGCAGGAGGACGGCGCUAUGGGUUGUAAUCUGCUUUGAUGCGGGGACAAAGUGGUCAACGUGUGGGCUUUUGAAGGUACCGAAUGAAUAAGGACCGGCUAAUUCCGUG